rnacentral:miRNA from 1 species
CGUAUAAAACAGGCCUUAAAGGCGGUUUUCCACUAGGCGGAAUUUUUCGACCGAAUCGAAAUUUCUCUUUGUUUCAUGAGCUCUCAAGCAGAACUAAUUGUAAAAAGACAAAGAGAAAUUUCGUUUCGGUCGAAAAAUUCCGCCUCGUGGAAUCCGGCCUUAAAGGCCUUUUUCCAUUAACG